rnacentral:rRNA from 1 species
GACGAACGCUGGCGGCGUGCUUAACACAUGCAAGUCGAACGGAAAGGCCCUGCAUUUGUGGGGUGCUCGAGUGGCGAACGGGUGAGUAACAAGUGAGUAACCUGCCCUUGACUUUGGGAUAACUUCAGGAAACUGGGGCUAAUAACGGCUAGGAGCUCCUGCUGCAUGGUGGGGGUUGGAAAGUUUCGGCGGUUGGGGAUGGACUCGCGGCUUAUCAGCUUGUUGGUGGGGUAGUGGCUUACCAAGGCUUUGACGGGUAGCCGGCCUGAGAGGGUGACCGGGCACAUGGGGACUGAGAUACGGACCAGACUCCUACGGGAGGCAGCAGUGGGGAAUAUUGUACAAUGGGCGGAAGCCUGAUGCAGCAACGCCGCGUGCGGGAUGACGGCCUUCGGGGUGUAAACCGCUUUCGCCUGUGACGAAGCGUGAGUGACGGUAAUGGGUAAAGAAGCACCGGCUAACUACGUG